rnacentral:rRNA from 1 species
GGACGAACGCUGGCGGCGUGCUUAACACAUGCAAGUCGAACGGAAAGGCCCUGCUUUUGUGGGGUGCUCGAGUGGCGAACGGGUGAGUAACACGUGAGUAACCUGCCCUUGACUUUGGGAUAACUUCGGGAAACUGGGGCUAAUACCGGAUAGGAGCUCCUGCUGCAUGGUGGGGGUUGGAAAGUUUCGGCGGUUGGGGAUGGACUCGCGGCUUAUCAGCUUGUUGGUGGGGUAGUGGCUUACCAAGGCUUUGACGGGUAGCCGGCCUGAGAGGGUGACCGGCCACAUUGGGACUGAGAUACGGCCCAGACUCCUACGGGAGGCAGCAGUGGGGAAUUUUGGACAAUGGGGGCAACCCUGAUCCAGCCAUGCCGCGUGCGGGAAGAAGGCCUUCGGGUUGUAAACCGCUUUUGUUCGGGAAGAAAUCCUCUGGGCUAAUACCCCGGGGGGAUGACGGUACCGGAAGAAUAAGCACCGGCUAACUACGUG